rnacentral:rRNA from 1 species
CCUACGGGUGGCAGCAGUGAGGAAUAUUGGGCAAUGGGCGAGAGCCUGAACCAGCCAAGUCGCGUGAAGGAUGACGGCCCUACGGGUUGUAAACUUCUGUUGUCAGGGAGCAAUUGAGUCCACGUGUGGGCUUAGCGAGAGUACCUGAAGAAAAAGCAUCGGCUAACUACGUGCCAGCAGCCGCGGUAAUACGGGGGAGGCGAGCGUUAUCCGGAUUUAUUGGGUUAAAAGGGUGCGUAGGCGGAAUUUCAAGUCAGCGGUAAAAAUUCGGGGCUCAACCCCGUCGUGCCGUUGAAACUGAUGGUCUUGAGUGGGCGAGAAGUAUGCGGAAUGCGUGGUGUAGCGGUGAAAUGCAUAGAUAUCACGCAGAACUCCGAUUGCGAAGGCAGCAUACCGGCGCCCAACUGACGCUGAAGCACGAAAGCGUGGGUAUCGAACAGGAUUAGAUACCCCUGUAGUC